CAGUCGAACGCGUCUCCGUUGAUGAUUUUAGGUGCUUGCACUUGAAAGACUUAUCAUUGAGACGAGUGGCGAACUGGUGAGUAACACGUGGGUAACCUGCCCUUGAAGUAGGGGAUAACACUUGGAAACAGGUGCUAAUACCGUAUAACAACCAAAACCACCUGGUUUUGGUUUAAAAGACGGCUUCGGCUGUCACUUUAGGAUGGACCCGCGGCGCAUUAGCUUGUUGGUAAGGUAACGGCUUACCAAGGCGAUGAUACGUAGCCGACCUGAGAGGGUAAUCGGCCACAUUGGGACUGAGACACGGCCCAAACUCCUACGGGAGGCAGCAGUAGGGAAUCUUCCACAAUGGACGAAAGUCUGAUGGAGCAACGCCGCGUGAGUGAUGAAGGGUUUCGGCUCGUAAAACUCUGUUGUUGGAGAAGAACAGGUGUCAGAGUAACUGUUGACAUCUUGACGGUAUCCAACCAGAAAGCCACGGCUAACUACGUGCCAGCAGCCGCGGUAAUACGUAGGUGGCAAGCGUUGUCCGGAUUUAUUGGGCGUAAAGCGAGCGCAGGCGGUUUUUUAGGUCUGAUGUGAAAGCCUUCGGCUUAACCGGAGAAGUGCAUCGGAAACCGGGAGACUUGAGUGCAGAAGAGGACAGUGGAACUCCAUGUGUAGCGGUGAAAUGCGUAGAUAUAUGGAAGAACACCAGUGGCGAAGGCGGCUGUCUGGUCUGUAACUGACGCUGAGGCUCGAAAGCAUGGGUAGCGAACAGGAUUAGAUACCCUGGUAGUCCAUGCCGUAAACGAUGAGUGCUAAGUGUUGGAGGGUUUCCGCCCUUCAGUGCUGCAGCUAACGCAUUAAGCACUCCGCCUGGGGAGUACGACCGCAAGGUUGAAACUCAAAGGAAUUGACGGGGGCCCGCACAAGCGGUGGAGCAUGUGGUUUAA
rnacentral:rRNA from 1 species